rnacentral:misc_RNA from 1 species
AAAAGCGGAGGAAAAGAAACCAACAGGGAUUGCCCUAGUAACGGCGAGUGAAGCGGCAACAGCUCAAAUUUGAAAUCUGGCCCUCGGGUCCGAAUUGUAAUUUGUAGAGGAUGCUUUUGGUGAGGUACCUUCCGAGUUCCCUGGAACGGGACGCCAUAGAGGGUGAGAGCCCCGUCUGGUUGGAUACCGAUCCUCUGUAAAGCUCCUUCGACGAGUCGAGUAGUUUGGGAAUGCUGCUCUAAAUGGGAGGUAUAUGUCUUCUAAAGCUAAAUAUUGGCCAGAGACCGAUAGCGCACAAGUAGAGUGAUCGAAAGAUGAAAAGCACUUUGAAAAGAGAGUUAAAAAGUACGUGAAAUUGUUGAAAGGGAAGCGCUCAUGACCAGACUUGGGCUUGGUUGAUCAUCCAGGGUUCUCCCUGGUGCACUCUUCCAGCCCAGGCCAGCAUCAGUUCGCUGUGGGGGAUAAAGGCUUUGGGAAUGUGGCUCCUCCGGGAGUGUUAUAGCCCAUUGUGUAAUACCCUGUGGUGGACUGAGGUUCGCGCAUCUGCAAGGAUGCUCAAGGAAUUGCCUAGUACGGCGAGUGAAGCGGCAACAGCUCAAAUUUGAAAUCUGGCCCUCGGGUCCGAAUUGUAAUUUGUAGAGGAUGCUUUUGGUGAGGUACCUUCCGAGUUCCCUGGAACGGGACGCCAUAGAGGGUGAGAGCCCCGUCUGGUUGGAUACCGAUCCUCUGUAAAGCUCCUUCGACGAGUCGAGUAGUUUGGGAAUGCUGCUCUAAAUGGGAGGUAUAUGUCUUCUAAAGCUAAAUAUUGGCCAGAGACCGAUAGCGCACAAGUAGAGUGAUCGAAAGAUGAAAAGCACUUUGAAAAGAGAGUUAAAAAGUACGUGAAAUUGUUGAAAGGGAAGCGCUCAUGACCAGACUUGGGCUUGGUUGAUCAUCCAGGGUUCUCCCUGGUGCACUCUUCCAGCCCAGGCCAGCAUCAGUUCGCUGUGGGGGAUAAAGGCUUUGGGAAUGUGGCUCCUCCGGGAGUGUUAUAGCCCAUUGUGUAAUACCCUGUGGUGGACUGAGGUUCGCGCAUCUGCAAGGAUGCUGGCGUAAUGGUCAUCAGCGACCCGUCUUAA